UACGGAGGAUGCGAGCGUUAUCCGGAUUUACUGGGUGUAAAGGGAGCGUAGACGGAAUUGCAAGUCUGAUGUGAAAAUCCGGGGCCCAACCCCGGAACUGCAUUGGAAACUGUAUUUCUAGAGUGUCGGAGAGGCAAGUGGAAUUCCUGGUGUAGCGGUGAAAUGCGUAGAUAUCAGGAGGAACACCAGUGGCGAAGGCGGCUUGCUGGACGAUGACUGACGUUGAGGCUCGAAAGCGUGGGGAGCAAACAGG
rnacentral:rRNA from 1 species